AUUUAUAUAAUAUAAUUUUAUUAUAUUUGACUUCCAAUCAAAAAAUCUAAUAUUUUAGUAUAAAUA
rnacentral:tRNA from 1 species